GCUGGAGUAGCUCCAACGGUAGAGCAGUUGACCCGUAAUCAUCAGGUUGUGCGUUCGAAUCGCAUCUCCAGCACCA
rnacentral:tRNA from 1 species